rnacentral:rRNA from 8 species
AGAUUAAGUUAUUAAGGGCGCACGGUGGAUGCCUUGGCACUAGAAGCCGAUGAAGGACGUUACUAACGACGAUAUGCUUUGGGGAGCUGUAAGUAAGCUUUGAUCCAGAGAUUUCCGAAUGGGGAAACCCAGCAUGAGUUAUGUCAUGUUAUCGAUAUGUGAAUACAUAGCAUAUCAGAAGGCACACCCGGAGAACUGAAACAUCUUAGUACCCGGAGGAAGAGAAAGAAAAUUCGAUUCCCUUAGUAGCGGCGAGCGAAACGGGAAGAGCCCAAACCAACAAGCUUGCUUGUUGGGGUUGUAGGACACUCUAUACGGAGUUACAAAGGACGACAUUAGACGAAUCAUCUGGAAAGAUGAAUCAAAGAAGGUAAUAAUCCUGUAGUCGAAAAUGUUGUCUCUCUUGAGUGGAUCCUGAGUACGACGGAGCACGUGAAAUUCCGUCGGAAUCUGGGAGGACCAUCUCCUAAGGCUAAAUACUCUCUAGUGACCGAUAGUGAACCAGUACCGUGAGGGAAAGGUGAAAAGCACCCCGGAAGGGGAGUGAAAUAGAACCUGAAACCGUGUGCUUACAAGUAGUCAGAGCCCGUUAAUGGGUGAUGGCGUGCCUUUUGUAGAAUGAACCGGCGAGUUACGAUUUGAUGCAAGGUUAAGCAGUAAAUGUGGAGCCGUAGCGAAAGCGAGUCUGAAUAGGGCGUUUAGUAUUUGGUCGUAGACCCGAAACCAGGUGAUCUACCCUUGGUCAGGUUGAAGUUCAGGUAACACUGAAUGGAGGACCGAACCGACUUACGUUGAAAAGUGAGCGGAUGAACUGAGGGUAGCGGAGAAAUUCCAAUCGAACCUGGAGAUAGCUGGUUCUCUCCGAAAUAGCUUUAGGGCUAGCCUCAAGUGAUGAUUAUUGGAGGUAGAGCACUGUUUGGACGAGGGGCCCCUCUCGGGUUACCGAAUUCAGACAAACUCCGAAUGCCAAUUAAUUUAACUUGGGAGUCAGAACAUGGGUGAUAAGGUCCGUGUUCGAAAGGGAAACAGCCCAGACCACCAGCUAAGGUCCCAAAAUAUAUGUUAAGUGGAAAAGGAUGUGGCGUUGCCCAGACAACUAGGAUGUUGGCUUAGAAGCAGCCAUCAUUUAAAGAGUGCGUAAUAGCUCACUAGUCGAGUGACACUGCGCCGAAAAUGUACCGGGGCUAAACAUAUUACCGAAGCUGUGGAUUGUCCUUUGGACAAUGGUAGGAGAGCGUUCUAAGGGCGUUGAAGCAUGAUCGUAAGGACAUGUGGAGCGCUUAGAAGUGAGAAUGCCGGUGUGAGUAGCGAAAGACGGGUGAGAAUCCCGUCCACCGAUUGACUAAGGUUUCCAGAGGAAGGCUCGUCCGCUCUGGGUUAGUCGGGUCCUAAGCUGAGGCCGACAGGCGUAGGCGAUGGAUAACAGGUUGAUAUUCCUGUACCACCUAUAAUCGUUUUAAUCGAUGGGGGG